CCUGCAUGAAGCCGGAAUUGCUAGUAAUGGCAGGUCAGCAUACUGCCGUGAAUACGUUCCCGGGCCUUGUACACACCGCCCGUCACACCAUGAGAGUUGGGGAUACCCAAAGCCCGUGAGCCAACUGUAAAGAGGCAGCGGUCUAAGGUAGAAUCAAUGAUUGGGUGAAGUCGUAACAAGGUAAC
rnacentral:rRNA from 1 species